AUACUGUGAUGGUUGCAUAGUUCAGCAGAUUUAAGUCAUGAAGAAAUAUACUUUUCUGAUGUAUCU
rnacentral:snoRNA from 17 species